GUGGGUGAUCUGCCUGCACUUCGGGAUAAGCUUGGGAAACUGGGUCUAAUACCGGAUAGGAGCCAUCUUUAGUGUGGUGGUUGGAAAGUUUUUUCGGUGUAGGAUGAGCUCGCGGCCUAUCAGCUUGUUGGUGGGGUAAUGGCCUACCAAGGCGGCGACGGGUAGCCGGCCUGAGAGGGUGUGCGGCCACAUUGGGACUGAGAUACGGCCCAG
rnacentral:rRNA from 1 species